GACAGGCAUGGUGGCACAUUCCUGUAAUCCCAGCUACUUGGGAGGCUAAGGCUGGAGGAUCACAAGUUUGGGGCCAGUCUCAGCAACUUAGUGAGAUCCUGUCUCAA
rnacentral:sRNA from 1 species